UACGAAGGGGGCUAGCGUUGCUCGGAAUUACUGGGCGUAAAGGGAGCGUAGGCGGACAUUUAAGUCAGGGGUGAAAUCCCGGGGCUCAACCUCGGAACUGCCUUUGAUACUGGAUGUCUUGAGUGUGAGAGAGGUAUGUGGAACUCCGAGUGUAGAGGUGAAAUUCGUAGAUAUUCGGAAGAACACCAGUGGCGAAGGCGACAUACUGGCUCAUUACUGACGCUGAGGCUCGAAAGCAUGGGGAGCAAACAGG
rnacentral:rRNA from 1 species